AAAACAAAAAAUCAAUCUCGACGGGUUCUUUACGCAUCGGGCACCCACAUUCUCCGCUUACUAAAUCCGUGUUUCUUUUCAUGCCAUUUACCCCAACAAACUCUCGCUGAAUCACGAUCAGCACUAGAAAUUUGUUCAAAUUCCUGGUAAUAGUUUUCGGUCAUUUUGGUAAUGGGUAUUGUCUAAAAACAAACACCAUUAACGCCGGUGUAGUGCUUAAAGAUUCUGAUACUAUAAUUUCCUCCGGCGAGAUUUUCACCUUGGGAUUUUUUAGCUCCAAUGGUACUACUCGGCGUUACUUAGGCAUACGGUAUGAAGUUUCUAAAGAUACAGUUGCUAGGGUUGCUAAUCGAGAUAGGCCUCUCAAUGAUUCAUACGGGACUUUUUCGAUAUCCACAGAUGAAAAUCGUAUAAUCAUGAAUGGAAAUAAAGAGAUUAUUUAGUCAUCAAAUGUUACAUCAAAUUCUACCACUUCCGGGGUGAAUACAACUGCCCAGUUAUUAGAUACCGAAAAUCUCGUCCUCCGGUAUAUGGCCGGCAUAACUACUCUAUGUGAGAGCCACCGGUAUCCCACCAACACAUUUUUUGCCAGAAAUGAGAAUAAUCCACAACACAAGAAUAGGCCAAAAGGUAUCAAUAAAUUCCUUGAGAAAUCCUCAGGAUCCUAAUUAUGGAAAUUUUUUUGCAGGUCUCUAUGCAGUUGGGAUCCAAAAAAAUUACAUAUGGAAUAAUGGUCGUCCAAUCUGGAGCAGGGUCCAUGGAAUGAUCGAGUUCUCAUCGGAGUAACCCGCUUGUACUCUGUCUAUGUAGAUGGAUUUAACGUGGCAACUGAGAAAGAUGGCACCUUAGUUUUCACACGAGCUUUUCAACAAAAGGCCUUAAUGAAGAAUGACGAAUUCUGUAAACAUUGAAGGAGUUCUUGUGGAAGCAGCGUGGGAUGAUCAGAAGAGAGAUUGCAGUCCCACAAGGCAAGCCCCAGUAGAUGAUUAUGAUUUCUAUAACAAAUGCGUAUAUUUCGAAUUUUCUAUGCAAACAAUAGGCCAAAAUGCAAUUGCUUAAAAGGGUAUGAACCGAAGAACAGAGAGGACUGGGAUAGGGCAGUUGGAGUGAUGGAUGUCUAAAAAGGACUCCCCUGUAGUAUGAUCGAGAUAAUAAUGCAAUUGAUAAACGCAAACUGGAUAAUUUUCGAAGACAACGCUGGUGAAAGUGCUAGAUUUUAUGCAGUGGUUUGACCGAUAAUCUUCUGAGACAACAUGUAACAUUAGAGUAUGGAGAAGGUGAAGUAGGCCAAUUGGAUUCAAGUGAAACAGUGCUUCAAAGUACCAUGGAUAAAGUUAAUAUUGAAGAAUUACCAUUAUACAGUUUCGAGAUGAUUGAAAAUGCAACGAGCAAUUUGACAUGGCCAAUAAGCUUGGAAUGGGUGGUUUUGGUCCUUUUUUUAAGGUAUUGUACUGUGCUUAUGCACAAGGGCGGGCCUAGACUUUUACUGCUGUGGGGUUAAAAGUUUAAAUGUAAUUUUUUUUAAAAACGACAUAAUGUUAAUG
rnacentral:lncRNA from 1 species